UAUUUCACGAUGAAACUUUCACCUCGAACAUUUAAAAACUGAGAGGAUAUAUCAUGGGAGCGUCAUGGUCUAUUUUUUUAAAAAAAUAUACAAAUUAUUCCCUUGAUUUUCUAAAAAUUCGAGGGAAUAUAGCUAUAAGGGAGCUCGAUUCAAAUCUCCAUUACUGCAUUUUAUAUAUUUUUUUAAAGUUUUAAUCUUUUUUUCAGUUCCCGCCUUUUCAG
rnacentral:lncRNA from 1 species